UCCACAGCUGUGGUUUUCAUGUGUUU
rnacentral:piRNA from 1 species